UAGGGAAUCUUCGGCAAUGGACGGAAGUCUGACCGAGCAACGCCGCGUGAGUGAAGAAGGUUUUCGGAUCGUAAAGCUCUGUUGUUAGAGAAGAACGUUGGUAGGAGUGGAAAAUCUACCAAGUGCCGGUAACUAACCAGAAAGGGACGGCUAACUACGUGCCAGCAGCCGUGUUAGUACGUAGGUCCCGAGCGUUGUCCGGAUUUAUUGGGCGUAAAGCGAGCGCAGGCGGUUCUUUAAGUCUGAAGUUAAAGGCAGUGGCUUAACCAUGGAACGCUUUGGAAACUGGAGGACUUGAGUGCAGAAGAGGAGAGUGGAAUUCCAUGUGUAGCGGUGAAAUGCAUAGAUAUAUGGAGGAACACCGGUGGCGAAAGCGGCUCUCUGGUCUGUACCUGACGCUGAGGCUCGAAAGCGUGGGGAGCAAACAGG
rnacentral:rRNA from 1 species